rnacentral:misc_RNA from 1 species
GAUGAAGAACGUAGCGAACUGCGAUAAGUAAUGUGAAUUACAGAAUUCAGUGAAUCAUCGAGUCUUUGAACGCACAUUGCGCCCCCUGGCAUUCCGGGGGGCAUGCCUGUCCGAGCGUCAUUGCUGCCCUUCAAGCCCGGCUUGUGUGUUGGGUCGUCGUCCCCCCCGGGGGACGGGCCCGAAAGGCAGCGGCGGCACCGCGUCCGGUCCUCGAGCGUAUGGGGCUUUGUCACCCGCUCGAUUAGGGCCGGCCGGGCGCCAGCCGGCGUCUCCAACCUUCUAUUUUACCAGGUUGACCUCGGAUCAGGUAGGGAUACCCGCUGAACUUAAGCAUAUCAAUAAGCGGAGGA